AUGCCGUAAAAGCAAGUUGAUAAAGGUGGCCACCGUGGGGACAGGGCCUAUCUGCCUAUUGAGAAAGGCAGUCGGAGCGCUGCAAACCCUGAGUUGCAACACCAGGACACCUUACCAAAGCUUAUUCUACUAGAAGCAAGAUGGCUGAACUCAAUACUCAUGUGAAUGUCAAGGAAAAG
rnacentral:lncRNA from 1 species